rnacentral:tRNA from 1 species
GGAGGUGGAUCAGGGCUGGCGUCCUGCACGGCCUUCAAAGCCGCUGGGGACUGGUUCGGCCAGGCCCGGUGGGUUCGAUUCCCAUGCACCUCCGCCA